UUACGGCCAUAAAACAUUGAAGCAUCAGUUCCCGUUCGAUCACUGAAGUUAAGUAAUGUUGAGCCUCGUCAGUAGCUAGAUGGGCGACCGCUUGGGAAUACCAAGUGUUGUAAG